AGGCGACGACGGGUAGCCGGCCUGAGAGGGCGACCGGCCACACUGGGACUGAGACACGGCCCAGACACCUACGGGAGGCAGCAGUGGGGAAUAUUGCACAAUGGGCGCAAGCCUGAUGCAGCGACGCCGCGUGAGGGAUGACGGCCUUCGGGUUGUAAACCUCUUUCAGCAGGGACGAAGCGUGAGUGACGGUACCUGCAGAAGAAGCACCGGCCAACUACGUGCCAGCAGCCGCGGUAAUACGUAGGGUGCAAGCGUUGUCCGGAAUUACUGGGCGUAAAGAGCUCGUAGGCGGUUUGUCGCGUCGUCUGUGAAAACCAGCAGCUCAACUGUUGGCUUGCAGGCGAUACGGGCAGACUUGAGUAUUUCAGGGGAGACUGGAAUUCCUGGUGUAGCGGUGAAAUGCGCAGAUAUCAGGAGGAACACCGGUGGCGAAGGCGGGUCUCUGGGAAAUAACUGACGCUGAGGAGCGAAAGCGUGGGUAGCGAACAGGAUUAGAUACCCUGGUAGUCCACGCCGUAAACGGUGGGCGCUAGGUGUGGGUUUCCUUCCACGGGAUCCGUGCCGUAGCUAACGCAUUAAGCGCCCCGCCUGGGGAGUACGG
rnacentral:rRNA from 1 species